rnacentral:lncRNA from 1 species
AGACUGGGUCCAGGCUGGGCUGUGGGUGAGAGGGUGCAGUGCUCAGCCUGGCAGUUGGUCUCUCAGUGGCCAUGGCAUUCAGGGGGCCUGAACCCUGGGUCUCUGCAUCCCUGCUGAGACAGAGGCUGAAGGCCGAGGAGAAGACGCUGGAUCUGGAGUUCGAAGUUUUGAGCGUGGGGUUUAAUGAGGCGGGUAGAUACGCCCUGAGACUGUCAGCAGAGAACCCCCUGCAGGUUUCUGCAAGAAUGACGGGCAGCAUGAUGCUCAGCUGCAUGUGGAGGCACUGAGGCUGGACGAACCCUUGGGACGGGCAGCCCAGCGGGUGGGUGAGGCCAUCUUCCCCAUCUACCCGAGGCCAGACCAACCCCGCAUGAACCCAAAGGCUCAGGAUCACGAGGACCUGUACCGCUACUGUGGCAACCUGGCUCUGCUCCGGGCUAGCACGGACCCCACAGCCCGACACUGUGGGAGCCUGGCCUACAGUGUGGCCUUCCACGUCCACCGGGGCCCUCAGCCUCCAGUCUCAGACAGCCCUCCCAGGGCUGGCCAGCCAGAACUGAUGUCACCAUGCCCAGAGCCCCAGCUCCCCAUACUGCAGAACUGAUGAUGGUCAUGGGGGGCAGUGGAGCAGGGGCAGGAGAGCAGGAUGAGCAGGAAUGCAAUAAUCAAGAUGAUCCAGAAUGAGAAGGAAGCGGAAGACAAGGCUCAGUGUGAGACCAGGGUCAGAGCUCAGCAAACUUCCACGACUGGCUUUGAAUCAGAAUCAUUUUGCUUCUCAGCCACGGCCCCUGGGUUACACAGCCUUAAAUGGCCCUGCCAAUGCUGGUCACAGCAUUCCCUAGUCCUGGAGACUCGGGAACUAAAACAAUCAAUUCCCCUGAGCAAUAAAAUUAUGGACAGUGAACACCUUCGCUUCUCCAGUCCCCAAGCUUCCUGCUCUGUGUGGGUGGGGAGGUGAUGGUGGGAGGGACUGUCCUCCAUGAAUAUUUCCAGCAUGCACAAUCACAGCUCCAAGAUAGAGGUCACUCCCUGAGCCCUUGACCCAAGGAUGGGGAUGCUGGGAGCAUGCAGGCAGGGGCUGCAGAGGGAAUUUACCCACCUAGAGGGCUAACUAUUUCCAGGUUCCUGCCAGCCAGAGCAGCAGCCCUUCCCAGAGGCUCAGGGUGCUUCCUUUCUGGGUAGAGCUCCACUACACUCGUCCCACCCCCUCAGCGCUGCCUCCUGUCACCUCUUGGCAGGUUUGAGACCAUAGAGCUAUGCCUCUCCAGCUCC